GUCUACCGCCAUACCACCUUGAACACACCUGAUUUCAUCUGCUCUCAGAAGCUAAGCAGGGUCGGGCCUGGUUAGUACUUGGGUGGGAGA
rnacentral:rRNA from 1 species